AAAAGUAGUGAUUUGUGUAUUUUGAAUGAAGACAGUCAAUUGGACAGACUUUCGUAAAUGCCCUCAGUGGCCAUUUUCCUUUGUAUGGUCUAGAGUUUUUUAUUUUUUAACAUGGUCUAGAUUUUUUGAUUUUGUGCCAUGUAAGAGAAUGGGGAAUUGUAUGUUUUCUGAUUUUGUUGAUGUUUUGAGGAUCGAUAGAGGUGGGCUGCUGAGAAUAUGGCAAGUCGUGCUUAUAUGCAGAUUUAAUCACUUAGACUAGUCUCACAAAAGGCAGUGAACGGUAUCUGUUGCUAUAGGCAUUGGGACCUUCUAUGUGAAGGUGGAUGACGAUGGAUCUGGUGUUUCACGAGAUGGACUGGUGCUGAUGGGAGAAAAGUAUG